CAGGGGCGACAAAGGGGUUCUUCACCCAAACCCUAGUUUACAAGAAAAACCACGAAUUGAAGCCUUAAAUCAGUUAGAAAUCGAAAUCCAAGCAUAAAAUCGUUAUCACCUCGUCAAAGGGAUCAUAAGGCAAGGAAUCCGGAACGUUAAGUGGACACGCCGGAAGUGAUACCUGCGGAAAAGGUGUGCUUUAAAGGUAUGGAUGAGUUCCCUUUCGGAUGAUGAUCAAGGCAUUAUCAAGAACCGAACACGUAUUUUGAAGCUUCCGCGUUGACUCAACUUGUUUUAGACAAUGAUUUUGAUGUAAAUGAAUUGAUAACCAUGUCUUAAUGUUUUUAAACUAG